UUAUCAUCGAAAGCACACUAUGUAUGUAUGUACGUACAGUGACCGCACUUUUAUGCAGUCGAGUAAACCGUAACAUUUACACUAUUCUUAGUAUCUAUUAUGAGUAGAAUGUAGGACGACGAGUUAUAUGCAUAGUAAGUCACUAAAAUACGUAAAUAAACAUAGAAAUUUAAAUAUUUAUACAUAAAUAGUUGCAUACAAUAGUUAAAUCAAUAAAUACGCAGAUAAGUUUUACAGCAGAAAAACAACAAAAUAAUAAAUUUUCAAGGUCACACAUGUACAUGCAUACAUAGUACUUAUGGCGUUUGAGCCAACAAAGGCAUCGCAAGAAGCUCAUCAUUAAACCCGCUAUUAAUCUUAAGUUAACUACAUUUUCUGCUAUAGACAGUGUUGCCAGAUUUUGUUUUUACUAAAUUUCCGGAAAAGUGUGUCUUUUUUCGACCAAAAAACUGUAACCUACAAAAAUGAAUAAAAAUAAAAUAAUAAUUUAAAAUUAAAAAUAAUAAAAUAACAUAAGCCGUUUUAAUUGUACUUAAGGGCCAAUCCAUUGUGACAGGUGGGACAUUUGACUCCAAAAUGUGAUGAAUUGUUAUUAACAUUUGUAUAACUAUGGCGUCGGAACUUAUACAACAGUGAAACAUAUUUUUGAGCAUAGAUAAACAACUAAUGUAUGAAAAUCUUUUAAAAAUAUCAAUAAAUUUUUAAGUUCUUUGUAACUAUUAUUUGUAUGAAUGUAACUGGUGGGACACUGAAAAUCCCAUUAUUUUACCUUUGUGCACUCAAAAUGAAUUUUAUCGCUUCAAGACAGAUUUUUAUGUGUUGUAAAAUAAAUACAAUACGCUUUUGUUUUCAAAAAAAUAAUGGCAUAACCAUCAUAAAACUUGUUAGCAAAAAAAAAAAUUUAUUUAGCUGUUCUUUACUCUUUUUUUGUCCAUUUGGCUGGAUUGCUGAAAAAAUUCUGGCAGCACUGAAAAUAAUUCCAAGUUCUUCACUUGUGUAUCGCUCCAUUGCUUAUUGUCAAUUGAUUCUAUAUCUGUCUACAGCAUAGAUAUCAAAGCACAAUGCCAUUUUACGAUGUUUACCAAAAAAAUUAUAGCACAUUCACAUUAUGACAUUACUUUUGCGUCACUUUGUUUAUCUAUGAAGUAAAAGUUUCUACAGAUAAAAAUAUUUUUUUUUAAAUAUUUUUCAAUAGAUUAAUGAAAAAUGUAUAAUCAUUUAGCUAUAGGUUAGUACUGAAAAAGGAUAAUAUUGGAAUUUUUAAAUUUAUGUCGUUGUCUCUUUUUACAUGGAAUGACCCUUAACUAACUAAAAAUAUACAUACUUAAUAAAAUGAAACAUGAAAAUGAAGAAGUGCAGUUUCGUUAUUUUUCGUAAAUUGCUUUGCUAAUUUUUUUAAGCAUUUGGUUCUAUAGAUAUCUUAAAUUUAGUACCCUCUGAAGCAUUUUUGUUAAGAAAUAGUGUGCAAAUAAAACUAUAAUUAGUACUAGGAGCUAAUUUAAAGAACUGUACGCUUAUAUAAAAACUGUAAUUAAACUUAAAACUGUGAAUCUGGCAACAUUGGCUACAGCGCAACAGCUAUGCUAAUCCAUCCUCCACAAAUCGCAUGCACUCACAUAAAUACACUCGAAUACAUACAUACAUACAUAAAUGCAUCUAAACACACACACACACACACAUGCAUGCAUACAUACAUACAUAUAUGAAAAAAUUAUGUGAAUUCGAUCUUAUAAUAAAAUACUGUGAUACUAAAUUUUACUAGUACUUCCAGCAUAGCUGCAUUUUAUCCAUUCUAAAAUAUUCUAAAAGCUUACAUUAUAUAUUGACGCAUCGACGCAUUGGCGCAUAAGAAAUACAUACAUACAAAUAUAUGUAGUGAAAAUGAAAUAAAUAGAACUCUUUAAAAAAAAAACCAUAAGUAGAAGCUGAAGAACGAUACAACGUAUUGUCUGUCGUGUCUGUCUAUGUCGAUCUGUCGUACGGAUACGGGUACGAGAAUUAUUAACUAAAUUUGCAGCGCGCGUCGUCGGCAAAAGUAACGUAACGUAACGAUUUAGUGGAAACGAUUAAGAAAUUGUUGAAUUAGGCAAACGAAAAUUGAAAAAUAAAAAAUCUAUAAGCAAAAAAUGAAAUUGUAUAAUUAUUACUAUAACUUAGCUAUUAACUCAACCCUUCCACUAAAGAAAAAAACAAAAAACAAUUAAAAAUCAAGACAAUUGUAAAAGUCUCUGCAAAAAAAAGCAAUUUAAAAGAAACAAAAAAACGUAAGAAUUAUUAAACUUUAGAUUAUAUACAUAUACAUACAUACCUAUAAAUACAUGUUUUAUCUAUUAAUUAGCGAUUUGCAGGCGAGAGGGUGCAAUUCUUGCAAACAUACAUAUAUACCGAGAAAAAGCGUGCGCAGUCGAAAAGAGAUUAUUUUAAGCUAAAUACACAAAAUAGAUUCACACACACACACACUCACAUAAAUGCAAAGUGUAUAACAAAAAUUAGAAGAUAAUAACAACUACAAACGGUAAAAUAAUUUUAAAAUAAUCGAAAUAGUAAACAAUUGUCAUGCAUACAUAUGUAUACACAUACAUACAUACAUACUUAAGUACUUGCACAGACUACGCGGCGCAUGCGUUGAAAUAAAAUAAAUUAACAUUUUAACAUAACUGAAAUGAUAAAUUCGAAGUGAGUAUAAAGAAAAAGUAAAAGAUGUAAGAUGUUACUUCAAAAAAUUAACUUCGUAAUUUCAUAUAUAUAUUUUUUUUUUGUUAUCAAUUCGCGAUAGAUUUUCGUGUUGCCCAGAGCUUUAAAUUUUUUAUACCCGCAACAAUUCGGGUGCAUUCGGCUUUACAAAGAUCUGCGUACAGAUCUGAGAGAUAUUUCUUCAAAAUAAGUAUAUCUAGUUAGUAGGUAUUACCAAAACUUUUGAAAAGAAAGCUAAGCUAAUCGGGUCGUAAAGCUUCACUCCUUGUUGAACCAUUUUUAAUCCUUGACGAAACUCGUCAGGCACCUAGGGUUUGAAUCUCCCAAUUUGUCAAUGUCACUAAAGAGAGGAGACCGCAGAAAGCGCAAUCUGCUCCUCGACAGUGCCGGACAGUUACAGAUAAUGUGGAGGACUGUAUCCUCCUUCUCAUAGUUUUUGCAACUUCUGCAGCAUCUAUGGUAAGGCACUCCGAGCCGUUCUGCAUGUUUGCCUAUGAGGCUGUGGCUUGUUAGAGCACCAAUUGUGUGAGAUAUAUCCUCCUUAUUUAGAAAAUAUAAGCUUCGAGACCUUUUUCGAUCCCACCUAGACCAAGUUUGCCUAGAAACUCGACAGGUCAUAGUUUGGAUGUUUAAAUUUUGUUAAUGGGAGUUCUUUCGACCGUUUCGGCACCAGAUAAAGUCUGAGGAAAAGACUAAUUCAGCCAUUGUAUCUCUAGAGAGAUAAGUCUGUACUACGUACUCUAAUAAUUUAUCUAAAAACGCUGACAGGUUCAAAGUUGCGAGCGAGUAACAUGAGCAAACGGGAUUUCAUUUCAUUACAUAUUUGUCUGAAAAUGGAACGCUUUACUUAUUCCGUCUUAAUACUCAACUAUAAUUUCUUUGAUAGCAUCAAACAAGGGUAAGUUUUCUUCGCUGAGAUCUGUUCUAGCAGGUCCUGAAUCAGACUCAGCGUAGGAGAACUGUGCCUAGACGGGGCCUAAACGGCAACACUUUUACCAGCAAAUUUCUUCUUAGUAAGGUUUCUUUUAGAAGGUUAUCAGAAUAAUACCCUUUGUAUUUGGUGCAAAAUGGAAAAAUAAUACCUGAAUUCCCUUUAGGAAUAAAGCACCUUAUACGGGUACGCUAUUUGGAAACUUUGUAAAAACUUUCUAUACCGACUGCUCCCAAUACUAAAAUGCAACUGCUGCUGGAGGUAAACUUCAGACGCUUUUCUGCUGUCUAUGUAGCGACCGCAAUGUUUCAGUCCGAAGACGUUAUAAUUCUUAUAAGUAGUAGACUGGAUAAUUGGUGAAAAACAGCGUGAGCAUCAAAUCGGGGUCUGCAGUGGUAGCCAUGCUGCUGUAGUUGUACUACAAUGGGCAACUAUGUCUGAGCGCUUAAAAAUCGUUUUGUGUUUUUCCGACGUAGCACAAUUCCCUUCCAUUCCAGUGCGAUUUUGCAGAGUGCGAUUUUCGUACGAAGAGAGGGGACUUUUCUUCUCAAUUGUUUACUCAGUCCAAAGUAGCACUUCUUAGCAAGAAUAAUUCUACGUGGUUAUCAGGCCGAUUCUGAACAAAAACUCCUUGGCAGUUUUCUCUCUUUUACCUUUCCUCCUAUGGUGAAUAAAAAUCCCCUGAGGAAUUUUUAUAUUAAAUUGCAGAGUUGAGCUG